rnacentral:rRNA from 1 species
AUAUCAAUAAGCGGAGGAAAAGAAACCAACAGGGAUUGCCCCAGUAACGGCGAGUGAAGCGGCAACAGCUCAAAUUUGAAAUCUGGCCCCCCCCAGGGCCCGAGUUGUAAUUUGCAGAGGAUGCUUUUGGCGAGGUGCCUUCCGAGUUCCCUGGAACGGGACGCCAUAGAGGGUGAGAGCCCCGUCUGGUUGGACGCCGAGCCUCUGUAAAGCUCCUUCGACGAGUCGAGUAGUUUGGGAAUGCUGCUCUAAAUGGGAGGUAUAUGUCUUCUAAAGCUAAAUAUUGGCCAGAGACCGAUAGCGCACAAGUAGAGUGAUCGAAAGAUGAAAAGCACUUUGAAAAGAGAGUUAAAUAGUACGUGAAAUUGUUGAAAGGGAAGCGCUCAUGACCAGACGUGGGCCCGGUGAAUCAUCCAGCGUUCUCGCUGGUGCACUUUGCCGGCGCCCAGGCCAGCAUCGGUUUGCCCCGGGGGAUAAAGGCCCUGGGAAUGUGGCUCCCUAGGGAGUGUUAUAGCCCACUGCACAAUACCCUGUGGCGGACCGAGGUUCGCGCAUCUUGCAAGGAUGCUGGCGUAAUGGUCAUCAGCGACCCGUCUUGAAACACGGACCAAGGAGUCGUCUUCGUAUGCGAGUGUUCGGGUGUCAAACCCCUACGCGUAAUGAAAGUGAACGCAGGUGAGAGCUUCGGCGCAUCAUCGACCGAUCCUGAUGUUCUCGGAUGGAUUUGAGUAAGAGCAUACGGGGCCGGACCCGAAAGAAGGUGAACUAUGCCUGUAUAGGGUGAAGCCAGAGGAAACUCUGGUGGAGGCUCGCAGCGGUUCUGACGUGCAAAUCGAUCGUCAAAUAUGGGCAUGGGGGCGAAAGACUAAUCGAACCU